rnacentral:rRNA from 1 species
GACGAACGCUGGCGGCGUGCUUAACACAUGCAAGUCGAACGAUGAAGCCGGAGCUUGCUCUGGUGAAUUAGUGGCGAACGGGUGAGUAACACGUGAGUAACCUGCCCUUGACUCUGGGAUAACUGCGGGAAACUGUAGCUAAUACCGGAUACGACCAUCGGAGGCAUCUCCUGGGGGUGGAAAGAAUUUCGGUCAAGGAUGGACUCGCGGCCUAUCAGCUAGUCGGUGAGGUAAAGGCUCACCAAGGCGACGACGGGUAGCCGGCCUGAGAGGGUGACCGGCCACACUGGACUGAGACACGGCCCAGACUCCUACGGGAGGCAGCAGUGGGGAAUAUCGCACAAUGGGCGCAAGCCUGAUGCAGCAACGCCGCGUGAGGGAUGACGGCCUUCGGGUUGUAAACCUCUUUUAGCAGGGAAGAAGCGAAAGUGACGGUACCUGCAGAAAAAGCACCGGCUAACUACGUGCCAGCAGCCGCGGUAA